AGAAACUUGUCAAAAACUAUUCACAGUUCGUUUCAUUCCCUAUAUAAACAUGGCAAGAAAGGGAUAUACUAAAGAGGUUGAAGUUGAUGAUGAUCAGGCAGGGGCCAAGGCUGAUGGGCAGGAUGAGCCAGCUGAGGUUCAUCCUGUUUUAAUGGUAACAGACUACUCUCUCGCUCCCCCUCACACUCAUC